rnacentral:rRNA from 1 species
AUUGAACGCUGGCGGCAUGCCUAACACAUGCAAGUCGAACGAGAGGCGGACGUGUGAGUUAUGUCUGGGAAACUGCCUGAUGGAGGGGGAUAACUACUGGAAACGGUAGCUAAUACCGCAUACCAUCAGAUGUGCCCAGAUGGGAUUAUCUUGUUGUUGGGGUAACGGCUCACCAAGGCGACGACCCCUAGCUGGUCUGAGAGGAUGACCAGCAACACGGGAACGGAGACACGGUCCAGACUCCUACGGGAGGCAGCAGUGGGGAAUAUUGCACAAUGGGCGCAAGCCUGAUGCAGCCAUGCCGCGUGUAUGAUGAAGGCCUUCGGGUUGUAAAGUACUUUCAGCAGGGAAGCGUUACCCGCAGAAGAAGCACCGGCUAACUCCGUGCCAGCAGCCGCGGUAAUAC